GGAGCUCCCAUUUAGGGGUCACAGGAUCAAGAGAAACGUGCCACAAGCUGGAGGCUGUGCAAAACCGGCAGCAAACAUCUCUGGGGAGAGCCCUGCACACAUGAAGCUCAGUGCCUGCUCGCAAUCCUGGCUGUGCCUACAGUGUUUUACUCAACAAGUUCUGGAUAAUCUCCCCUGAGCUUGUCAAUGAUACCAGAGGUGGAAUGGAUGGUGGUACAGAGCAAGGCUAUGGAAUCUGAAGGUGGUGGUCAUCACCCUCACUUGUUGCUGUCUCAGAAGAUCCAGGAAAAAGUAGGUUCCUCCGAGGCCAGAAGCCCAUUCAGUAUCUUAGCCAAUGGCAUGUCUUAUA
rnacentral:lncRNA from 1 species